rnacentral:piRNA from 1 species
AUGUUAUAACAAUUAUAAUAAUGUC